UGCGGUCGUGGCGGAAUUGGCAGACGCGCACGGUUCAGGUCCGUGUGGUAGCAAUACCGUGGAGGUUCGAGUCCUCUCGACCGCAUCC
rnacentral:tRNA from 4 species